GUGCCAGCCGCCGCGGUAAUACGGAGGGUGCAAGCGUUGUUCGGAAUUAUUGGGCGUAAAGCGCGUGUAGGCGGCUAUUUAAGUCUGAUGUGAAAGCCCGGGGCUCAACCUGGGAACUGCAUUCAAAACUGACGAGCUAGAGUAUGGUAGAGGGUGGUGGAAUUUCGAGUGUAGGGGUGAAAUCCGUAGAUAUUCGAAGGAACACCGGUGGCGAAGGCGGCUACCUGGACCGAUACUGACGCUGAGACGC
rnacentral:rRNA from 1 species